CCAGCUUCAGUUAAAUAUUUUAAAGCAGGCAAACCAUAUUGUGCCAUUUCUUACUGAUGUGGAGCUGCCAAAGUGGAAGCUCUGGCAGCAAUUGUCCUGCAUUGGAAUUCAACGUCACACCAGUUUGACUCUGCACCUGAAGCAACUGGAGAAACGAUUUACGACUGUCGCUAAGGUGCUGAUACAAAUAUAUAAACAGCUGCUGAAACAGCAAGACUGGAACCAAUUCAUCCUCAAUGCCCCAAUUACAGAAAUGGAGAAUUUUGCACUGUCCUUGUUUAGGAAACUUGUCACAAAAGCUCUGGUUGUUGAGAAACAGCCUGUCAUGCAAAAUUAUUCACAGCGGCCUCUAAUACUGAAGGUUGGGGUACAGUUCAGUGUGACACUGAGGUUCCUGGUAAAUAUACCUGAAAUCUGGCUCAAAGUCAAACCUGUCUUUGACAAGGAUGUUGAAGAAGUGAAAACAGUGAAA